rnacentral:tRNA from 1 species
GGUGGGUUGGCUCAGUGGUUAGAGCAUAGGUCUCAUAACCGAAAGGAAGCGGGAUUGAAUCCCCCCUAUAGGCUG